UGGCGACCGGCGCACGGGUGAGUAACACGUAUCCAACCUGCCGAUGACUCGGGGAUAGCCUUUCGAAAGAAAGAUUAAUACCCGAUGGCAUAGUUCUUCCGCAUGGUAGAACUAUUAAAGAAUUUCGGUCAUCGAUGGGGAUGCGUUCCAUUAGGUUGUUGGCGGGGUAACGGCCCACCAAGCCUUCGAUGGAUAGGGGUUCUGAGAGGAAGGUCCCCCACAUGGGAACUGAGACACGGUCCAA
rnacentral:rRNA from 1 species